GACGAACGCUGGCGGCGUGCUUAACACAUGCAAGUCGAACGGUGACCCUCGGAGCUUGCUUCGGGGUGAACAGUGGCGAACGGGUGAGUAACACGUGAGUAACCUGCCCCUGACUCUGGAAUAAGCGCUGGAAACGGCGUCUAAUACCGGAUACGACACGCCUCCGCAUGGGGAGCGUGUGGAAAGUUUUUCGGUCUGGGAUGGACUCGCGGCCUAUCAGCUUGUUGGUGAGGUAAUGGCUCACCAAGGCGAUGACGGGUAGCCGGCCUGAGAGGGCGACCGGCCACACUGGGACUGAGACACGGCCCAGACUCCUACGGGAGGCAGCAGUGGGGAAUAUUGCACAAUGGGCGAAAGCCUGAUGCAGCGACGCCGCGUGAGGGAUGACGGCCUUCGGGUUGUAAACCUCUUUCAGCAGGGAAGAAGCGAAAGUGACGGUACCUGCAGAAGAAGCACCGGAUAACUACGUGCCAGCCGCCGCCGUAACAC
rnacentral:rRNA from 1 species